rnacentral:rRNA from 1 species
GAUGAACGCUGGCGGCGUGCCUAAUACAUGCAAGUCGAGCGAACGGUCGAGAAGCUUGCUUCUCUGAUUUUAUCGGCCGUCGGGUGAGUAACAUGUGUAUAACCUACCUAUAAGACUGGGAUAACUUUGGGAAACCGGAUCUAAUACCCGAUAAUAUUUUGACUCUCAUUGUUCAAAAGUUGAAUAAGGUCUUUCGUUGACUUAUAGCUUGAUCCGCGCUGCAUUAGCUAGUUGUUAAGGUAACGGCUUACCAAGGCAACGAUGCAUAGACGACCUGAGAGGGUGAUCGGCCACACUGGAACUGAGACACGGUCCAGACUCCUACGGGAGGCAGCAGUAGGGAAUCUUCCGCAAUGGGCGAAAGCCUGACGGAGCAACGCCGCGUGAGUGAUGAAGGUCUUCGGAUCGUAAAGCUCUGUUAUUAGGGAAGAACAUAUGUGUAAGUAACUGUGCACAUCUUGACGGUACCUAAUCAGAAAGCCACGGCUAACUCCGUG